rnacentral:tRNA from 1 species
AAAAGGUCGCCAUGGGGCUACUACAAGCUUCUAACUUGUAUAAGAGCAGUUCGAAUCUGCUCAUCCUUUU